ensembl:rRNA 5S_rRNA 5S ribosomal RNA
CGCAUGGGUGAUAGCCAAGCAGUAAUUUUCCAGCCAGCACAAUUUCAGCAACUAAGCAGGGUUGGGCCUGGUUAGUACUUGGAUGGGAGACCACCUAGGAAGACCAGGUGAUGUAUGCGC